AGCUGUUCCAAGGAAAAUUCGAAAAACUACACCUGCGAUACAGUCACCUACUGGAAAAACUCCACCUUCGAUGAAUUUCUCUCCUGAAGAAACUCCACUUUCGAUGAAUUCCUCUCCUGAAGAAACUCCACCUUCGAUGAAUUCCUC